UUAGGAUGUUGUUGUCGUGCUUGAACCUGGAAGCAUGCUCCACCGGGACUUGGGUUCGGUCGAGCAACAACUAGUCUGUUGAUGACGCCAGUCGCCGGCUGCUGUUCGGAGGCUAGCAAAAGGGCGAGAGGGUUUGCUAGUACGUAUAGAGCGUGUGCGAGUAAGUCGCUGGAAGCAGGGCAUUCUGGGCUAUCCAAAUUGCUCACCGGAGUUCAUCGCGACGGCUGAUCCGCAUGGUUUCGUUUCCGUGGCCAGAUCAUAUGCCAAAUCUGCUAUGGGUAAGGUUCUCUCCCUGCUGUUCUAUCUUGCAUAAACGUUGAGUAGAGUUCAUCGGAGGGGGGAAGAUGGGGUCGAGGCAGGUGUGGCGGCGAUCCACAGCCGCAUUGAGAGCCAUGUCGCGCUGCUUUCGCCCGAGAAUGGCCAGCCUGGGGUAGGCGAUGCGAGAGAAUAGGAGGGUGCAGGUCUGGUCGUUGGAUGAUAGUUCGUCAAUGUGAUUAGAGGUAUGCAUACCGGUUCGCUGGAUUGAAACCCGACCGUAGACUCUUGAUCCAACAUCGACGAUCACAUACCAGUUCGAUUUAAAGCUAAUCUAAUCAAGCCCGUUGACGAUAGAUCGGAUCCACGUUAUAACAGUUGUGGCACAUUUGUAAAACAGUCCUUGAGUUUUACGAAAUAGGAUCCACCGUCCAGUAAUUAAAUUGGGAUUUCACAGUUUAGCCCCUAGAAGUCACUUUUAGGUAUAAAAUUAAUAUCAAAUAACCUAGAAACUUGUAUAAUCCAUAUCUUACACAUUUUUGGAUUUGAUUUAACCCGUUCAAGUUGUGAUAGCUUCGUAAUUAAAAUGCCUACGUAUUAACAUCAUUAUUUUAUCAUAUAACAUUUUUUCAGAAAUGACUAACUAACUUGUCUAACCUAUGUUUAUUUAAGUAACUCCCCUAAUCUGAGUUAAUGUAGCAUUUUAAUUUGGCGCAUUUAUAACUUGUCUAAAAUAUAUCCAUAAUCAAGUUAUAGCUUCAAUUAAAGUAAAAUUAUCUAUGUUUCUAUAAAAUUUUCUCACAUGGUUUAUAAUCAACAUAGGAUAUAAUUUUAUUGCUUAAUCACCUAAAACUUCAAAAAAUCAUAACUCUUUAAUCGUAACUCUGAAUUUAGUUGUUCUCGAACCUAGGUUUUCAUUUCGAUGCGUAGAAUAUUAUUAUGUAGUUUGUUCUUAUAUUUGGUGUGAUGUUAAUUUUGUCUAUACCAUGUUUGUGUGUAUUGCUACGUUUAGCAGUGAGGACACGUGUCAUCUGAAGAGCAAGUUGGUAUCUGGAAUCUCAAGUCCCAGACAAGUUGUGCCCUUGAUCACUUCCUUUUUACCCAGUCAUGUUCUUAUUAAUCAUAAUGAUCUGCAUAGGUUUAUUUUGAUGGGACCCAAUAGGUUACCCUAGAUUUGACUAUCUUUAUACCUUGUUUCACCACUGGUUUUACUACUAAAUUUUUGGGUAGUACAUGUUAUUGCUUUAUGUGGUUUUGGGUAUAGAGAUAUUCGUUACUCAUGAUUAUACUUUUUAUUAUCUGUUCAUUAUUUACUGUUCAUGAUAAAAUCAUUAUGUUAAUGUGAACAUGGAGAACCACCUGGGAAAACAAUGCUACCACAAGGGUUUAAUGGGACGCCCUUGGCUGAUUAACUAGGAAAGCUAGUGGAUGACUACCUUACCCAAAAGGGGCAAGGGCAGUAGGGGAGUGGUCAGUGUAGGGAGGUUCUUGGUUGAUUUUGCUGCGAUGGCGGUCAGGCGAGGGAUUCCUGCACUAGAGCUUCCUAUAAACUGUAGCGGGGUUUCUGAAGCUAGUGGAACUUUGUAAAGGCCUCGUAGUGUCACCCUGUCUCGCCUCCUCGGUAGAGGUGUAUGGGAUUGGCCGUCUCUUGGCAGAUGGGUAACAUGACUUGUGGGUAAAGAUGUGCAACCUCUGAAGAGUGUAAAACUGGUAUACUAGCCGUGCUCACGGUCAUGAGCAGCUUGGACACUCACAUGAUGAAUUUAUGAAACUAAAUUCAAUUUGUCAUAUGCAUUGCAUCGCAGGUGAUGUUGUUACUUCUGUUCUACUACUUAAUUGGGUUGGUAUUACUUAUACAUAGUAAUUGCUAAUAAAAUUUUGACCAACUUUAAAAGCAAUGCUCAGCUCUAACCAUCCUCUUUGGUAAGCCUUACACUUCACGUGAGCUCCCACCUUUGGCGAGUUCAUGCACAUUAUUCCCCACAACUUGUUGAGCUUUGAACGUAUGUGAGCUCACUCUUGUUGUCUCACACCCCUCACAGGUCAAGAACAGGUACCACAUGAUGAGGCGCAUGGAGGAUGCUGAGAUGAGUUCGUGAGAGGUCUAGGCCGUCGUCUCCCAGUCAACUUUGGGUUGCUGGACCGUUGUCUCCUUAUAAUGUAAUUAUUUAUUUAUUUUGUAUAGAACUCUUAUUAUAUAGUAAAGAUGUGACAUCCGAUCAUGUGCCAUGAUUCAUCAUAUGUGUGGGACUUGGUCCCAGCACACCUGGUGAUUAUGUUCGCGCCCGGGUCUUGGUGCCCCGAAACCCGAGUGUGACACCCCUGAACUAUUUGGGUAGUUUUGCUAUUGCUUUAUAUGGUUUUGGGUUUAAUAUUACAUUAUGCUCAUGUUCUAAUUA
rnacentral:lncRNA from 1 species